rnacentral:rRNA from 1 species
AUUGAACGCUGGCGGCAUGCCUUACACAUGCAAGUCGAACGGCAGCACGGGUGCUUGCACCUGGUGGCGAGUGGCGAACGGGUGAGUAAUACAUCGGAACAUGUCCUGUAGUGGGGGAUAGCCCGGCGAAAGCCGGAUUAAUACCGCAUACGAUCUACGGAUGAAAGCGGGGGACCUUCGGGCCUCGCGCUAUAGGGUUGGCCGAUGGCUGAUUAGCUAGUUGGUGGGGUAAAGGCCUACCAAGGCGACGAUCAGUAGCUGGUCUGAGAGGACGACCAGCCACACUGGGACUGAGACACGGCCCAGACUCCUACGGGAGGCAGCAGUGGGGAAUUUGGGACAAUGGUCGAAAGCCUGAUCCAGCAAUGCCGCGUGUGUGAAGAAGGCCUUCGGGUUGUAAAGCACUUUUGUCCGGAAAGAAAUCCUUGGCCCUAAUACGGUCGGGGGAUGACGGUACCGGAAGAAUAAGCACCGGCUAACUACGUG